UACGUAGGGUGCGAGCGUUGUCCGGAAUUAUUGGGCGUAAAGAGCUCGUAGGCGGUCUGUCGCGUCGGCUGUGAAAACCCGGAGCUCAACUCCGGGCCUGCAGUCGAUACGGGCAGACUGGAGUUCGGUAGGGGGAGUCUGGAAUUCCUGGUGUAGCGGUGAAAUGCGCAGAUAUCAGGAGGAACACCGGUGGCGAAGGCGGGACUCUGGGCCGAUACUGACGCUGAGGAGCGAAAGCGUGGGGAGCAAACAGG
rnacentral:rRNA from 1 species